rfam:Sporolactobacillus inulinus CASD NODE_56, whole genome shotgun sequence.
AUCUCGCUCCAACCGCUCAGAAUAGGUGAUAAUGUCCGGUAUGUCGGGCAGCCUUUCUCUGGCGAGUCUGAGAUGACAG